AGGGAAUCUUCCACAAUGGACGCAAGUCUGAUGGAGCAACGCCGCGUGAGUGAAGAAGGUUUUCGGACCGUAAAGCUCUGUUGUUGGUGAAGAAGGAUAGAGGUAGUAACUGGCCUUUAUUUGACGGUAAUCAACCAGAAAGUCACGGCUAACUACGUGCCAGCAGCCGCGGUAAUACGUAGGUGGCAAGCGUUGUCCGGAUUUAUUGGGCGUAAAGCGAGCGCAGGCGGAAGAAUAAGUCUGAUGUGAAAGCCCUCGGCUUAACCGAGGAAUUGCAUCGGAAACUGUUUUCUUGAGUGCAGAAGAGGAGAGUAGAACUCCAUGUGUAGCGGUGGAAUGCGUAGAUAUAUGGAAGAAUACCAGUGGCGAAGGCGGCUCUCUGGUCUGCAACUGACGCUGAGGCUCGAAAAGCAUGGGUAGCGAACAGGAUUAGAUACCCUGGUAGUCCAUGCCGUAAACGAUGAGUGCUAAGUGUUGGGAGGCUUCCGCCUCUCAGUGCUGCAGCUAACGCAUUAAGCACUCCGCCUGGGGGAGUACGACCGCAAGGUUGAAACU
rnacentral:rRNA from 1 species